GGGACUUGUUGUGUACACGUUUGAAGUGUGUCUGUGUCCUUGUAGAGUCAGCUGUGAGUCUGCACUUGCUUCUGUGGUGUUUGCGUCCUUCUAGACUGGUUGGAGACCAUCAGAUUGUUGUUUGUUGUGACUUUGUUUCAAACCGGUGGAUUGUUUCGUUGUGACGGCCCCGGACUUGUCCCGGAGGGUGUUCUAGAGUCAGCUGUAAGUCAGCGCUUGCUUCUGUGGUGCUGUCUGUUUCUUCUGACCAGUUGGAGACCAUCAGAUUGUUGUUUGUUGUGACUUUGUUUCAAACCGGUGGAUUGUUUCGUUGUGACGGUCCCGGACUUGUCCCGGAGGGUGUUCUAGAGUCAGCUGUGAGUCUGCGCUUGCUUCUGUGGUGCUGUCUGUUUCUUCCGACCGGUUGGAUACCAUCAGAGAUGAUCUUUAUUGUGACUUAGUGUUUCAUCCUGAUGCAUUGUUUCCUUGUGGCGGCCCCGGACUUGUCUCGGUGGGUGUUCUAGAGUAAAAGUCUGAUGUGCAGUCUGUUUCCCACUGGUUGGAGACCAUCAGAUCGUUGUUUGUUGGGACUAGACGUUGCCUUGUGUUCUAGUGGGGUUGGUAGUAUACUUCUGACCUGCUGUCUGUUUACCUCUAGACUGGUUGGAGACCAUCAGAUGAGUUGUUUGUUGGGACUAGUGUUCGAGUCGACUAGUAAACGUCCGAGGUGAGUCUGACCGGUUGGAGACCAUCAGAGAUGAUCUUUAUUGUGACUUUGUGUUUCAACCGAUGCAUUGUUUCUUUGUGGCGGUCCCGGACUUGUCCCGGUGCAGUCUGUUUCUCACUGGUUGGAGACCAUCAGCUACCUGUUUCAUCUUGAUCCACAGAAUGCGCAAUAUUCAUCCCACACGACUGAAAACAAGUCCAUUCGAUUUAUCUCGGUCGACAACCCCCAGUUGCCAUCAUUCCAGUACAUUAUUCAUUGAUAGUAACAUCCGCCACUUUCCAGUUAUCGUAUCUCACAUCACCAAGUCGU
rnacentral:rRNA from 1 species